ensembl:lncRNA DANT2 DXZ4 associated non-coding transcript 2, distal
GACCUUCAGCUUCCACCCCCUCUGGGGAACAGGAGACACAGAAGAUGGAGGGAGGGAUGGCAGCCUACCCUGUGGCAACGCGGGAGUCGCGUUGCCGCAGGGGGCGCAUUGGGGUCCAGCCGUCCCCAGAACGCAGAUCAGAGGUAGUCGGACCUUUCCCGCUGGCGCGCAGCCUCAGCUAGUCCUAGGUCUCUCGACUCUUCAGGAUGAUGUCCUACACAACAUCAACAACCAGUGGGUACCCUGUGCCCUAGGGAGAAGACUGACAGAAUGGCAUCCUGUGGCACCCUUGACCCAGCCUUUCUUUGAGGGGAGCAAGAGGAAACCAGACAAUACUUGAAAUGCAAUGCACCUGGGUUACCAUUUCUUGUCUCAGUGCAGUACCCAAUAAUCAGGAAAUUCUCUCUCCUCUUUACAAGAGAUAACGCCUGAUAAUGUGGCCACUACCACCGCCCCGUUAUUUGGCUAGGCCUGGGUCCUCCAGAUGAGACAUUAGUUCUCAGGUUUUACAUAGCCCCAAGACCUCCAGGGCAAGGAUCCCUCUCUUCCCCUAACCUUGUUUCUGCACUAAGAGCAAAGAUCCAUAGUCUCAAUGCCCUGCAGUAGCUUCAGCUCCCAGUUUCCAAACAUGGCGGCCAACAAGGCCUGACCUCCACCACCUCUGGGACCUGACAGGCCUUGCAGCCCAGGGCUCCUUGGUGGAUGAGCCUGGUUCCCUCGCUUUCACACCAACUCUGAAGGCACCCACUCAGGUGCCCAUGUCCACCUCCAGAAUUCUCUGAGUGUUCCAUACCUACCCUGUUACCUAACAUACCUACCCUGUUACCUAACAGAAGUAUGAAUAUACAGAGAGGGGCCAGAAGCCAUACUCAAAAAGCUUCUGCUUGAUGGCCCUUUUGCUCCAGUAAUGCCAACCACUCUGGCCUGCCAGACCUUUCCCCUUGCCUUUUGUCCUAAUCCAAAGGGAGUCCCAAAACCAGUCCAAGACCUUGAAGUGGGAUUUACUCUGCUUGGGUUCUCGGGGUGAACUGGUAUCCCUUUCUGUCAUGCUCUCAGUGGGAAAUAUAAAUGUCUAUGAAAUAAUUCAUCAAAACGAA